rnacentral:rRNA from 1 species
UACGGAGGAUGCGAGCGUUAUCCGGAUUUAUUGGGUUUAAAGGGUGCGCAGGCGGCACGGCAAGCCGGCGGUCAAAUCGCGGGGCUCAACCCCGCCCAGCCGUCGGAACUGCCGGGCUAGAGUGGGCGAGAAGUGCGCGGAAUGCGUGGUGUAGCGGUGAAAUGCAUAGAUAUCACGCAGAACUCCGAUUGCGAAGGCAGCGCACCGGCGCCCUACUGACGCUCAGGCACGAAAGCGUGGGUAGCAAAUAGG